rnacentral:rRNA from 1 species
AUUGAACGCUGGCGGCAUGCUUUACACAUGCAAGUCGGACGGCAGCACAGAGAAGCUUGCUUCUUGGGUGGCGAGUGGCGAACGGGUGAGUAAUAUAUCGGAACGUGCCGAGUAAUGGGGGAUAACUAAUCGAAAGAUUAGCUAAUACCGCAUAUUCUCUGAGGAGGAAAGCAGGGGACCUUCGGGCCUUGCGUUAUUCGAGCGGCCGAUAUCUGAUUAGCUAGUUGGUGGGGUAAAGGCCUGCCAAGGCGACGAUCAGUAGCGGGUCUGAGAGGAUGAUCCGCCACACUGGGACUGAGACACGGCCCAGACUCCUACGGGAGGCAGCAGUGGGGAAUUUUGGACAAUGGGCGCAAGCCUGAUCCAGCCAUGCCGCGUGUCUGAAGAAGGCCUUCGGGUUGUAAAGGACUUUUGUCAGGGAAGAAAAGGCUGUUGCUAAUACCGACAGCUGAUGACGGUACCUGAAGAAUAAGCACCGGCUAACUACGUGCCAGCAGCCGCGGUAAUACGUAGGGUGCGAGCGUUAAUCGGAAUUACUGGGCGUAAAGCGAGCGCAGACUGGUUACUUAAGCAUGAUGUGAAAUCCCCGGGCUCAACCUGGGAACUGCGUUCUGAACUGGGUGACUAGAGUGUGUCAGAGGGAGGUAGAAUUCCACGUGUAGCAGUGAAAUGCGUAGAGAUGUGGAGGAAUACCGAUGGCUAAGGCAUGCUCCUGGGAUAACACUGACGUUCAUGCUCGAAAGCGGGGGUAGCAAACAGG